AUUAAAGCAAUGAGGGGGAAAGUAGAUAUUUAAAGAACAUCACAGAGAUUGAAUGACAUAGGCUGAGAUCAUUCAAAUGUUCUGAAUAUCGAAGACCACCCCGGAGCUGCGGAUGAUGAGUCCGAACGGUUAUUCCGAUAUAAUACCAGAGUAUAAAAAAGAGUGGAACCGCAGAUAACCUCUGCCUCUUUA
rnacentral:ncRNA from 1 species